GAGGUAUGAGGAAAAUAUCGGACAGUCUGAUUACCACUGAAGACUGAUAAGAUCCAACUCUGACCUCAACAAAGCC
rnacentral:snoRNA from 7 species